rnacentral:rRNA from 1 species
AGAGUUUGAUCAUGGCUCAGGACGAACGCUGGCGGCGUGCUUAACACAUGCAAGUCGAACGGAAAGGCCCUGCUUUGUGGGGUGCUCGAGUGGCGAACGGGGUGAGUAACACGUGAGUAACCUGCCCUUGACUUUGGGAUAACUUCAGGAAACUGGGGCUAAUACCGGAUAGGAGCUCCUGCUGCAUGGUGGGGGUUGGAAAGUUUCGGCGGUUGGGGAUGGACUCGCGGCUUAUCAGCUUGUUGUGGGGUAGUGGCUUACCAAGGGCUUUGACGGGUAGCCGGCCUGAGAGGGUGACCGGCCACAUUGGGACUGAGAUACGGCCCAGACUCCUACGGGAGGCAGCAGUGGGGAAUAUUGCACAAUGGGCGGAAGCCUGAUGCAGCAGCGCCGCGUGCGGGAUGACGGCCUUCGGGUUGUAAACCGCUUUCGCCUGUGACGAGGCGUGAGUGACGGUAAUGGGUAAAGAAGCACCGGCUAACUACGUG